AAGAAAUGAGACAAUCAGGAACUAAAUGAGACAUCGUUGAAAUGUGAGGACGUCUGAAGACCAGAAUCCAGAAGAUCGACGGUCACGGAGCCAAAAUCUCCAGAAUGAAGUGGGCGGCGCCUGACUUGAUGGACGGAGGAGCGGGGGAGUGGUGCAGGUAUGCCACCCGGGCGGUUGGAGUAGUUUGAGUGGAUGAGUAAGGCUCCAGCCCUUUUCCUCCUAACUGUCACCAACACCGCCAUCACCGCCACCGCCACCAACGCCGCCAACGGGUCUCCAAGCGGCACUCCAAAGUCCCAGAACCGCCGGUUUUUAGGACGUCGAUGGUGAAUUUUCCUUCUUUCUAGAGCCAGAUUUGUUUGAUCCAUUCAACUUUUUUGUUGUUGUUUUUUAAGGGGGCGGGGCUUGUCAAAAUAAAAAAAAUCUACAACA